GGCAACAUGGAGGGCCUUCUCUGGAACCAAGGACAAAUGCAUGGGCUCAAAGCUGGCCUGCAGCUCUUCUGAUGGCUGUCCUGAUGCCAGUGUCCAUGUAGCUCUGCCAUUGGCACAGCUCAGUCCAGAAUCCACCCAUGGUACAGACUGGACAACCUGAGAGACAGAUCAGCCUUAUUAAUUCAGCUUUUUACCACAAUGGAAAUCUGAAUGAUUUUUCCCCCGUUUUCUGUUGUGUUUUGAAAAAUAAUAAACAGAUUUUUGUCAUGG
rnacentral:lncRNA from 1 species